GGGGUGAGGCCGGAUCCUGGGCUGUGUCCCAGCACCCUUUGCUCCCGGCCUGCGCUGUUGGAUUCGCGCUCCCGCCCCGCAGUCCCCU
rnacentral:pre_miRNA from 1 species